GAUGAACGCUGGCGGCGUGCUUAACACAUGCAAGUCGAACGAAGCACCUUGAUUUGAUUCUUCGGAUGAAGAUCUUGGUGACUGAGUGGCGGACGGGUGAGUAACGCGUGGGUAACCUGCCUCAUACAGGGGGAUAACAGUUAGAAAUGACUGCUAAUACCGCAUAAGACCACAGUACCGCAUGGUACAGGGGUAAGAACUCCGGUGGUAUGAGAUGGACCCGCGUCUGAUUAGGUAGUUGGUGGGGUAACGGCCUACCAAGCCGACGAUCAGUAGCCGACCUGAGAGGGUGACCGGCCACAUUGGGACUGAGACACGGCCCAAACUCCUACGGGAGGCAGCAGUGGGGAAUAUUGCGCAAUGGGGGAAACCCUGAUGCAGCGACGCCGCGUGAGCGAUGAAGUAUUUCGGUAUGUAAAGCUCUAUCAGCAGGGAAGAAAAUGACGGUACCUGACUAAGAAGCACCGGCUAAAUACGUGCCAGCAGCCGCAGUAA
rnacentral:rRNA from 1 species